rnacentral:rRNA from 1 species
AAAUUGAAGAGUUUGAUCAUGGCUCAGAUUGAACGCUGGCGGCAGGCCUAACACAUGCAAGUCGAACGGUAACAGGAAGCAGCUUGCUGCUUYGCUGACGAGUGGCGGACGGGUGAGUAAUGUCUGGGAAACUGCCUGAUGGAGGGGGAUAACUACUGGAAACGGUGGCUAAUACCGCAUAACGUCGCAAGACCAAAGAGGGGGACCUUCGGGCCUCUUGCCAUCAGAUGUGCCCAGAUGGGAUUAGCUKGUUGGUGAGGUAACGGCUCACCAAGGCGACGAUCCCUAGCUGGUCUGAGAGGAUGACCAGCCACACUGGAACUGAGA